GUGGGGAAUCUUCCGCAAUGGACGAAAGUCUGACGGAGCAACGCCGCGUGAGUGAUGAAGGUCUUCGGAUUGUAAAGCUCUGUUAAUCGGGACGAAAGAGCCUAGUGUGAAUAAUGCUAGGAAGUGACGGUACCGGAAUAGAAAGCCACGGCUAACUACGUGCCAGCAGCCGCGGUAAUACGUAGGUGGCAAGCGUUGUCCGGAAUUAUUGGGCGUAAAGCGCGCGCAGGCGGAUCUGCCAGUCUGUCUUAAAAGGUCGGGGCUUAACCCCGUGAUGGGAUGGAAACUACAGAUCUAGAGUAUCGGAGAGGAAAGUGGAAUUCCUAGUGUAGCGGUGAAAUGCGUAGAUAUUAGGAAGAACACCAGUGGCGAAGGCGACUUUCUGGACGAAAACUGACGCUGAGGCGCGAAAGCCAGGGGAGCGAACGGGAUUAGAUACCCCGGUAGUCC
rnacentral:rRNA from 1 species